UACGUAGGGUGCAAGCGUUAAUCGGAAUUACUGGGCGUAAAGCGUGCGCAGGCGGUUUUGUAAGUCUGACGUGAAAUCCCCGGGCUCAACCUGGGAAUUGCGAUGGAGACUGCAAGGCUUGAAUCUGGCAGAGGGGGGUAGAAUUCCACGUGUAGCGGUGAAAUGCGUAGAGAUGUGGAGGAACACCGAUGGCGAAGGCAGCCCCCUGGGUCAAGAUUGACGCUCAUGCACGAAAGCGUGGG
rnacentral:rRNA from 1 species